UACGAAGGGGGCUAGCGUUGUUCGGAAUUACUGGGCGUAAAGCGCACGUAGGCGGGCGAUUAAGUCAGGGGUGAAAUCCCGGAGCUCAACUCCGGAACUGCCUUUGAUACUGGUCGUCUAGAGAUCGGAAGAGGUGAGUGGAAUUCCCAGUGUAGAGGUGAAAUUCGUAGAUAUUGGGAAGAACACCAGUGGCGAAGGCGGCUCACUGGUCCGAUACUGACGCUGAGGUGCGAAAGCGUGGGGAGCAAAGCAGG
rnacentral:rRNA from 1 species